GACGAACGCUGGCGGCGUGCUUAACACAUGCAAGUCGAACGGAAAGGCCCAGCUUGUUGGGUAUUCGCGUGGCGAAAGCGUGUGUAAAACGCGGGUUUUAUGUGCCCAUGACUGGGGUAUGACUUGGAAAAUCGGGGUCUUAUAGGAGAUGAUAAACUGUGGCGCGGUGGGUGGUGGGAAGAUUUUGCGGUUGGGGAUGGGCACGCGGCUUAUCAGCUUGUUGGUGGGGUAGUGGCGUACCAAGGCGCUGACGGGUAGCCGGCCUGAGAGGGUGACCGGCCACAUUGGGACUGAGAUACGGCCCAGACUCCUACGGGAGGCAGCAGUGGGGAAUAUUGCACAAUGGGCGGAAGCCUGAUGCAGCAACGCCGCGUGCGGGAUGACGGCCUUCGGGUUGUAAACCGCUUUCGCCUGUGACGAAGCGUGAGUGACGGUAAUGGGUAAAGAAGCACCGGCUAACUACGUG
rnacentral:rRNA from 1 species